rnacentral:rRNA from 1 species
AUGCACGCUGGCGGCGUGCUUAACACAUGCAAGUCGAACGGAAAGGCUCCUGCUUGCAGGGGUACUCGAGUGGCGAACGGGUGAGUAACACGUGGGUGAUCUGCCCUGCACUUCGGGAUAAGCCUGGGAAACUGGGUCUAAUACCGGAUAGGACGAUGGUUUGGAUGCCAUUGUGGAAAGUUUUUCGGUGUGGGAUGAGCUCGCGGCCUAUCAGCUUGUUGGUGGGGUAAUGGCCUACCAAGGCGUCGACGGGUAGCCGGCCUGAGAGGGUGUACGGCCACAUUGGGACUGAGAUACGGCCCAGACUCCUACGGGAGGCAGCAGUGGGGAAUAUUGCACAAUGGGCGCAAGCCUGAUGCAGCGACGCCGCGUGGGGGAUGACGGCCUUCGGGUUGUAAACUCCUUUCGCUAGGAACGAAGCGCAAGUGACGGUACCUGGAGAAGAAGCACCGGCUAACUACG